rnacentral:lncRNA from 1 species
GCUGGGGCUUAUGGCUGUUCUGGGAGGACUAGCAUCUCUGCUAGGGCUCCCCAUCUCCUUUUGGUUUCCCCCGGGGCAUUUGACUCUCACCUGUAGCUCCAAGAAGCCAUAGUCUGCUCAGGGAACACAAUCCAGUCAAACUGUCUCAGCAGACAGGCUAGACCAGGUUGAGGGUAACCAAUGGACCUCCAAACUCUAAGGAAACUGAGGCUGAGAGAGGUUAAGUGAGUUGUCCAGGCUCACAUAGCCAUAAGGUUUAUGAAUGCUUCUCACACAGACUGGCUUCUGGCAUUUAGCAGUAAAUACAGCGAGCUCCUCAACAUUCUCAAGAAGAGAGGAGGAGUAUAUGGCUAGCACUCUGACAAAGGAAGGAUCAUCGAAUUGCCACCCAGGCUCCAUCUACUAGACCAUACUGCCUUUUCUUCUCCUCUCACAAACAUUUGUGCUUGUUUCCUUAUAAAAAGAAAGGAAGAUGUUUGGAACAUUUUUUUUUAGUGAGUUACAGCAAUUCUGUGUGUUUGCAAAUG